AAAAAUUCAAAUCAGUCCCGGAGCGUCUCGUUCUAAUACAUUAUGAUUCGAGUCCCUCUCUGUGUGUGUUCAGAGCUGUCUGAUAAUCAUUUGCAGAUUUCGUCCAUCUCCGAGACUCAGGCGAGUCAGCCUCUUCUGUCUGUCGGUUUCACCAUCAUCUCAUCCCCUUUAUUCUCCACCGACAAUCCGAAUCUGGGCACAAUCUUCGUCUCCUACAAAAAAUAAAAAAUCGGUUUCGUCUGAUCGCGAUGCAUGCUCUCAAGGACAAGGUCUCGCAGAAGCUUUCGAAUCCCUUCGCCGAUUCCGCUAGUUCUCCUGGCUAUUCUCUCACCGAUUCUCCAAAGGCUAGAUUCAAGUUCUCGGGGAAAACAUUUUCUUCCUAUUUCCCAUUUGGUGUUCGUCAAUCUGGAAAUGAGAAUGAGGAGGAGGAGUCUGAAUCAUGUCCUCCCAAACAUGGAAAUGGGAAACACCAAGCUGCGACAAUGAUCUCGAGUGGCCAAGACAAGGACAGUGAGUUACAUGUUUCUGUCAAAGUAGAAAGCGAUUACAAUGAAGGGGUGAAGUAGAUAGCAGAGUUAACAGAAAGCUCUGCUUUUAUCUCUGCUGACUUGUUUGAGUUCUUGCACUCGUGUCUUCCAAACAUCGUAAGAGGUUGCAAAUGGAUCUUGUUAUAUAGUACGUUGAAACAUGGCAUAUCACUUCGUACGCUUCUGCGUAGAAGCGCAGACCUUCCUGGUCCUUGUUUAUUGGUUUGUUUGCUUGCUUGCCUCUUUGAUACAUUUUUGAGGCAAUCGUAUGGAAGCUCUCCAUGUGCCAACCGAUAUUACUAUAUGUGUAUGAAUGAAUUAUUGGCGUUUGGAGGUGGGGGAAGCUUUGCUCUAUGUUUAGACGAAGAUUUGUUGAAAGCAACAAGUGGGCCUUCUGAAACAUUUGGGAACGAAUGCUUGGCUAGCAGCACUGAAUUUGAGUUAAAGAAUGUCGAGCUCUGGGGAUUUGCACAUGCGUCUCAAUACCUCUUCUCAUGAACUUGAAGAUCCCUUUCUUGGUCGAGAAUCGAUAUACCUCAAUAGAAAGCUUAUCCAUCUUUUUAAUUCCGUUAAUUGUUUCAAAAGUUAUGAAUAGGUUUUGUACCUGUGUUACUGAGACUACUAAUUCAGCUGUGAUAUUUUUUUACUUCCGAGACUGUAACUCAACAAUAGUGUUAUUGUUUGUUAUAUAAGAUUGAUACAACUUUCGGAA